UACGGGGGGGGCAAGCGUUGUUCGGAAUUACUGGGCGUAAAGGGCUCGUAGGCGGCCAACUAAGUCAGACGUGAAAUCCCUCGGCUUAACCGGGGAACUGCGUCUGAUACUGGAUGGCUAGAGGUUGGGAGAGGGAUGCGGAAUUCCAGGUGUAGCGGUGAAAUGCGUAGAUAUCAAGAGGAACACCUGCGGCGAAGGCGGGUUGCUGGGCCGACACUGACGCUGAUGCGCGAAAGCCAGGGGAGCGAACGGG
rnacentral:rRNA from 1 species